AUAAGAGCGUCUGCUAAAUGACUUAAAUGUAAAAAAUGUAAAUGUAAUAUACACAUUAUGACAUAAUAAAGAGCUUAAUCUUUCACGAAAUAAAGACAUAGAAGCAUACCCAAUUAUACAGGUUCUACACAUUCCAUUUCUCCAUGGCAAUAGAAUGUAAACAUUCUAUUUUGCACCAAACAUCGCCUACAACUCAAUUCUAAGUGCAGCAUAUUGGACGACAACACAGUCAUUGAUCAUUUGCAACUUUAAGUCAUUCCUGUUAUCUCUAGAGCAUCCCGUAUAUCUAUAGCGCGGCAUUUCUUCCCCAUCUUUCCAUGGAUAGGGUUUGGUGCAUUCCGGAGUUCACUUAUGGUCCCACAAAGGAAUUCUGUAGAAGCAGCCUUUAUUUUCAGACUCUGCAGGCCUGCUGGGAGGAAACAUAUUACAAUAAACAGAAGAAGGUCAUGGUCCAUUAUCUGCUGCUCCAGAGUCAAGGCCAGGUCCCGCCCCAUGUCACCACGGAGCACAUGAGCAACUGGCUGGUGUCUCAGGGCAAAAAAUCCUUUAGGGAGAGGUGAGCACCACGUCAGCACUCACCUUCACUGCCAUUCCCUGCCACCAGCAGCACUCCAGGUUUGGGUAAAAUAAACUACAGAAAAAUCAGAAGCCAGGAAAGUUGAAUUGCUCUGU